ACCAAUGAACACUCCAUAGGAGUUGGCCUUUCCCUUCACCAUGUUAGUUCUGGGGAUCAAGCAUGGCAGCAGCACUGACUGGCUGUAAAAGUCAGGUAUUUGAUUGUUUUCUUUUUAAAUAUUCUAUUAUACUUUAUUUAUUUAGCUGGAGUGGAGUGGGAAAUAUGGAGUCAGAAAACAAUCUAUGGAAAUCAGUUCUCUCUUUAUCAUGUCGGUCCUGGGGAUUGAACUCAGGUCCUCAGGCUUGGUUGCAAAUGCCUUUACCUGACAUCUCUCAAGCCCAAAAAGUUACUUUCAACUGUCAGCUAGCUUACAUUACAUUCUAGAACUUAGAAUCACAUGAGAGGAGAGCCUCCACUGAGAAGUCUAGAUCAGUUUGUCCGGUAGACUUGUCUUAAUUGAUGUAGCAGACAUAGCUGCUAUGUGGGCUGCAUCAUUUCCGAGAGUGAAGAAAGCUACCUGAAUGAGCCAUCAGGCAGCACGGGCACAUUAUCUCUGCUCCUGACUGACGUGACGUCUCAAGCUCCUGCUUCUGUGACUUCCCACAAUGGCGGACUGUUGUGGAGGUUUGAAUGUAUUUAGCCCAGAGUAUGGCACUAUUAGGAGGUGUGGCCUUGAUGGAGUAGGUGUGACUUUGUUGGAGGAAAUGUGUGACAGUGGGAGUGUGCUUGGAGACCCUCUUCCUAGCUGCCUGGGAAACAGUCCUCUUCUGGCUGCAGUUGGAUCAAGAUGUAGAUCUCUCAGCUCCUUCUCCAUCACCAUGUCCGCCUUGCUUCCUGCCUUGAUCCUAAUGGACUGAACCUCUGAACCUAUUUAUACAUCCAGUCUCAAAAACAUAGAAAAGGGGACAGAGAGAAGAUGCAGCGUUUAAAAGCAUUUCUCUUCCAGAAGACAUGGUUACUGUUCGCAGACCCACAGCAGGCAGCUCACUACGGCCUGGACCUUCAACUCCAGGGAUCUGGUUUCUGGCCUGUACAGCAUUCACAUGCACAGACCCACACACAUUCUAAGUAAGAUGUUGAAGAUUUCUCCAUUGCGUGCGCUCUCUCUCUCUCUCUCUCUCUCUCUCUCUCUCUCUCCUCUCACACACACACACACACACACACACACACACACACACACACACACACACAUGCACGCACACUAUAGAUGUAGAGAGAUAACUCAUGCAAUGUCAGGAUGUCUGUGGAGACGUCCUGAAAGGACAGAGCACACGGCUCACCUGGCGACUGGAGAAUUGCUACUACUUCACUGUGGCCUCUUUCUCGAGCUUUAUCCAAUGGUGUUUUCCCAUCUUCAUCUCUGAGAUCCGGAUUUGCACCAUGCCGUAACAGAGUCUUAUAAAGAAAAGUAUUUCAUUUAAGAACAGCAUUUCUUAUAACUCUACAAUUUAAAGAUUUCUACCAGCUGGGAAGACGGCUGAGCAGUUAAGAGCGCUUACUGCUCUCAGAGGACCUGGGCGAGACUCCCACAAUCACCUAGUGGCUCACAACCACCUGUAAUUCUAGUUGCAGGGUAUCCUAUUCCUCCUUCUGACCUACACAGCUCCUGAACACAAGUGUACACAUGCAAACACUGAAGCACACAAACACAGACACAUCAAAACUAAAAGGAAAAAGAUAAAUUUUAAAAAAAUCUUUAAAAAGGCUUCUCAGAAUCAAAAAGGCAGAUACGAUUACAAGCCUCACCCUGGACCUAGUACCUUAAAAGCAGAUGUUCGUAUCUCACAGAAUUAUACAUAAUUGCACUUGGUGAUUUACCAUCCCUAAAUUAAGAUAUACUCAAAUCUGACUCUCUCAUUUCUUCAAACUCCAGCCAGUUUUUACUUUAAAACAUGGUGUUGGCUAUGACAGGCAAUCGGCUUCAGCAUGUUCUAUACAGCAUCACUUAGCAAUCCUUUGACCAAAAAUGCAUCGACACUUGUCUCUUUUGUCUCUUUCCUUUUUCCUAUUAAACGUUUUAUAACCUCA